CUGUCUUAGUGGCGGACGGGUGAGUAACGCGUGGGCAACCUGCCCUGUACCGGGGGAUAACACUUAGAAAUAGGUGCUAAUACCGCAUAAUAGGGAAUACCGCAUGGUAAUCCUUUGAAAACUCCGGUGGUACAGGAUGGGCCCGCGUCUGAUUAGCCAGUUGGCAGGGUAACGGCCCACCAAAGCGACGAUCAGCAGCCGGCCUGAGAGGGUGGACGGCCACACUGGGACUGAGACACGGCCCAGACUCCUACGGAAGGCAGCAG
rnacentral:rRNA from 1 species